rnacentral:pre_miRNA from 1 species
UAUAUUCUCCCUCCGUCCGGAAAUACUUGUCAUCAAAAUGGAUAAAAGGGAUGUAUCUAGAUGUAUUUUAGUUUUAGAUACAUCCCUUUUUGUCCAUUUUGAUGACAAGCAUUUUCGGACGGAGGGAGUAUAAC